AAGUUCAAUUUUUGGAUCCCUGCAGUUUCGAUGAUUUUAUCCUUAAUUCUGAAGAUGUGAUAAAUGCAUCUUAACUGCGGUGAUCUAGAUCAUGAACA
rnacentral:pre_miRNA from 15 species